AGCUUCGGCGGCCAGCUUUUUUCGACACCGGAGUGAGUCAGUGAACCUGAUCCGAAAACUUCCACGUAGGUUGUCACCCAUGUGGUCUCUAGUAGUAUAGUAGUAGAGGGGUCUAAGGAGCCUCUUAGAUAUUUGAAAAGCAGAGACCCCAUGGGUGACAACCUCAAAAGUUUUCGUUUCUGAAAACGUGUUGCGUAUGGUCUCCGGUUCCAAUCAUCCAUCGCGGCUUUAGUGGUU
rnacentral:misc_RNA from 1 species